UAGGUAGGUACAGAAUAGCCACGGGGAUGUAAAGUAUAGUAUAGGAAAUGGGGAUUGACUAUAGGAAUAAAGAGAAGGAAAAAAAUAGAUUAUCUCCAAAGGAAUAAGUACUAAAUUAGCAUUAGGCUUAUUGUCCACAACCCUGACAACAAUACUUUCAAUUUUAAGGGAAAGUGGUUUUCAAUAAAAAAUUUCUAAUUAGCAAAACCUUUAGUGGAACAAUUAAAGUAUGAGACAAAAAAUUAAGGUAUUAACUAUUGUGUUUUCACUAAGUGGGAAUUACUUAAUGUUUCUUUUCAUUCUAAGUCUUCCAGUCCUGUUUUAUUUUUGAACCAUAUACUAUGCACAUAUAUGAUUUUGAUAUAAGUUCAAAUACGAAUUUGAUAUAAUUUUAGAAUUCAGGAAAAGCUAAAUAAAGACACAUGCUAAAUAUUUUAAGCCUAUAUAUUUGACUCCCUCAGUCACAGUUUCCUGUUGUAACAAUCAACAUACAGGAAACUUGAAUCUUGGCAGGUAAGAGUGGAGUGAAUGGAAAAGCAUCAAUAGGCACAGCUGAGACUGGUGGAAAGUAAAGGAAUCUUCUGCCCCAGCCCCCCAUCACUCCUGACACACUGCAUGUUUGAAGCAGGAAUUGAAUUGUCAGCAGAACUCUAAUCCUGCAGGGAAUGGAGAAUACAAGUCCUGGAAACAAUAAUGAGUUUAUAUGCAGCAGGAUGGUGGAAUGUGGUCACUCCUGAGGCAUAUGAGCUGGAGAAAAGCAAAGACAGCCACAAAGAAGAAAUUGUUCCUAAAAGAAAAUCUAUAAUCACUGCAAGUGUUUAUUUCAGUUAUGACUACUAAACAAUUUCAAACUUCACUCAAAAAACAAGCAGAGAAAAUUCAAACAUCUGAAAAAACAGCAGUUCAAAAAGGGAAC